CCUAAUUGGCUUACCCCUAUAUGUAAUCUGAUUCCUUUGUCUUGUGGCUUUUAAAAUUCUCCCCUUAUUCUGUAUGUUGGGCAUUUUCAUUAUAAUGUGUCUUGGUGUGGAUCUGUUGUGAUUUUGCGCAUUUGGCAUUCUGUAGACUUCAGGGAUUUGGAUUUCCGUUUCAUUCUUCAUGUCUGGAAAGUUUUCAGAUAUUACUUCAUUAAACAGAUUGUUCAUUCCUUUGGUUUUGACCUCUACAGAGCCUUCCUCUAUCCCAAUAACUAUUAAAUUUCGUCUUUUUAUGCUAUCUCAUAUUUCUUGGAUGUUCUGCUCUUGGUUUCUUAUCAUUUUCACUAUGCUAUUUGCGUUCAUUUCAAGAUGAUAUACUUUGUCUUCGUUGUCUGAAGUCCUAUCUUCUGAGUUGAGUACUCUGCUGGUAAUGCUCUCAUUUAUGUUUUUAAUUUGGUUUGUUAUUCCUUUCAUGUCAAGGAUUUCUGAUUUUGUUUUGUUUUGUCUUGUUUUAAUAACCUCUAUCUACCUGUAGAGGUGAUCUUUUGCUUCUUGGAUUUGUUUAUGUAGCUCAUUGUCAAAGUGGUCUUUCACUGUCUGUAUUUGCUGUCUAAUGUCUUCUUUGAGAUUCCAAAACAUCUGUUCAUGUAAAUCCUGAACUCUUUGUCUGUCAUUUGUUAUGCUGUUUCUGUAAGUUCUUUUAAUGAUGUGUUGUCUUGAAUUGUUUGUGGUACUUUCUUCCCUUGUGUUUUCAUGUUGCUCACAUUUCUUUUCCAUUCUGUGGGACUGUUGUGAUAUUGUUUUUACCCUAAGGAUUUGUGGUGCUCUUGUAUACUUCCAAGAUCCCUUCUUUGUGGGGAAGGGCAAUGUUGACCAUUCCCAAUAUCAACAAUAUAUCACCUUAGAGUAAAUUAUUUUUAUUAAGACAUUUAUAGUUCGUCUCAAUGUCUAGAAAUGUUGGACUCAAUUAUUAUUUAAUGUAUAAUGAGUAGUUUCAUAAAAGAUGUACAGUUUAUGGUUGUGGACAGAGAACUGGGGUCGAGUGUAUGAUGUUAUGUUAAGGGAGAAAGAUGUGAAGGUAUGGGCUUAAUAUAACUUAGGAAAUUUGGAGAACUCUUAUCAAGAGGGUAGUACCUGGUGAAUAGACAGGAGGUAAUUUAAGGUAUACAAGUAUGUUGGAGGACAGUAGAAUGCAUAAAAAGAAACACAUAUAUGUAUUUAUAAAGCAUUUGGAAGUAAGUAAAAAUUAGGAGGUUUAUAGAGGAAGAGAGGGAGGGAUUAAAAUUAAAAGAAAGGGAAAAAAGAGAGAGAGAAAGAAAAAAGGGGGGACUUAUGCAAUUCCUCUGUAUUAUAUUAUUUUGGUGACUCAGUUCUUAAAGUUCUAUUUCAUGCAAUCUUCUUGGUUUCACAUAUUUUGGGGUUGUGAAGACCUGAAGAGGAAGGGUAGAGGAAAAAGGAAGAAUAUAAAAUGGAAGAGAAGAAAACAAACAAACAAACAACAAAAUACUCUAAGAAUUUAGUUUUUUCUUCUCUUCUCUUCUCUUCUCUUCUCUUCUCUUCUCUUCUCUUCUCUUCUCUUCUCUUCUCUUCUCUUCCAAGCUUGAGUCUCUUCCCUCAGUUUGGUGUUGGUAACCAAUGCGAGAAGAUUAGAGCUCUCAGUCUCUUGCCUGGAGCUUCCCUAAUCUUGAUCUAUUUGCUUUAUCUGCGUUGCUCCUAGUUUUUACCCCUCCACUCUCUUGCUUAUCAGAUCUCAGCUGUGGGACCUCUUGCUGUCCCCAUUGGAUUGUACCAGGUAAGCACUGCCCUGGUUGCACUGAGCUCUAUUCAACUGAGAGCUAAUUUUGUGCUGAUAGUUAUUAUGCCAAGUUAUCACAGUUGGGGGGAGGGGAAGUUGGAAACCAGGAACCUGUUCAGUGGCAGAACCAUGCUGGUAGCCACACCUACCAAAAGAUAGCAAGAAAGGUUUUUCAAGAUAGAGUUCAUCUGUUUUCCACAUCAGGGUGUCUGGUGAGGUGGGGGGAGCUGGAAAGUCCUCCUGCUGUGGCUAGAAUGUUGUCUGGUGACCUGCAUGGGAGCAGAGUUCUGCCACUCUGCAGAGGUGCUGAUUUGAUGUUUCUGUUCUGCAGCUUAAGAGUCGCACAUGUGCUCAAAUUGUGGGCCUUGGGACCAGAGACUGGAGUCUUAAAGGAAUACAGAGGCUCUGAGUUCUUCUCGGUGUUCACAGCUUUGGUGGAUUCUGCAAAAAUCUGCUGUAUGAGGUCCUGUCACGCUCUGAGGUGUUGUAUUCUGACAAGAUUGGCAUGCUACCAAAAACUGAAUUUUAUAUUAAAGAGUUUAUUUAAUCUUCUUGAGAGCUGAUGUGAAGCAAAGUAUUAAAAAUAAUUUUGCUAACCCAUCAUCAGGAGCCAGUUGGAAUUUUCAUAAGAAUUUUGGCACAUUCUCAAUCUUCCUGAUGAUUCCUUCUCUGGAAACUAGGCAUGGAGAGUGAUGGAUAUGCUCUUCCUUACUGGUGUGGCAGAGGGAAGCUUGAGAGAUAUAAUUGCCUAGGUUCCACUGAGUCUGAAGCUGUGGGCCUGGUCAACAAGGACAAAGUACAGGGCCUUACAUUAAAAUCCAUUCUUUCACCAUGAGAUGUGAAAUAAAGAAAUUUGUGGGAAAUGAUUUCUGCCAUCCUGUCUUGGGGGGCCAGUGGGAAUUCUCAUGUUAGUGAUAUUUUAUCCAUGAAAUAUUGAUAUUAUAUGAUUUUUGUAGGUAUUAUGUAAUACCCCACAGGACACUGUACUGGGCAGCAAUGGAAUCUGGGUCACUCAUGAUUGUGUGUAUGUGUGUGUGUGUGUGUGUGUGUGUGUAAGAGAAAGAGACACAGAGAGAGGGUGAGCAAGAGAGAAAGGGAGAGACAUCUAUACAGAUAUAUACUGGAUAUAGAUAUACAGAUAUAUACUGGAUAUAGAUAUAUUGAAACACUCUAUCCAACAUUAGCAGAAUACUAUUUAUUUUCAAGCAUACCUGAACAUUCUCCCAAGAUAGAUUAGAUGUUAAGCCAUAAAACUAUACUCAAUAAGCUUAAAAGGACUAAAAUAAUGUAGAGUAUGUUCUAUGACCACAAAGAAAUUAGAAAUAAAAAUCAAGUUGAAAAUUGCCAAAUAUUUGGAAAUAAAGACACCAUAUAGAACCCAUGAGUCAAAUAAAAUAUGUUAAAAGAAAGUAUAAAACAUUUUGUGCUGAGUGUGAUAUAAUUAAAGAAAUUCUCAGAUGGAAGCAUACAAUGAUUAUAUCAGAAAAGAGAAAGAUAAAUAAGCUUCUACCUUGGGAAAUAAGAAAAAUGCUAAAUGAGAAAAUACAACCCAAAGUGCACAGGAGGAAGUAAAUAAUAUAGAUCUGAGCAAAAAUUGUUGAUAUGAAGAAAGAAAAAAUAUACAAAAAAAUCCAUGAAAUUAAACAUGAGUGAAAUUGAUAAACUAUAUAGACUGAUACAAAUCACUAAAAUUAGUUUUGAAAGAGAGGAUAUUACUACUGACCCUGUAGAUUCAAUUAGGUAUGUUAUUUAUGUUUCUAGCUAAUUUGUGUUUUUUAACUAGCCAAUAAUUUAAUCUACAUUGGAAAUCUUCUUAUAAUUAAUCAACAUUAAUAAUAUUUUAAGUUCUCCCUGGCUUCCAUUCCUUCAAAUUCUAGAUUUUUUAUAUUUCUAUGCUUAGCUUAUACCAUAAAAGCACUAGUCAGUCAAGAGUGUUUGAAUGUCUCCUUCUGUUUUAGGAACAGAGAUGAUAUUGGGCCAAAAUGAGUUGUAUGACAGAGAAUGUACCUGGAACCUCAACAGUGUAUUUUGUAGGGUGUGAGUAUUAGAAGGAUGUAGCCAAUUCUUACAACUUUAAUUUUUGCCCCAGCAUCCAUUUUGAGUAUAUUUAACUUUCUCAUAUCAGAAGCAGGAUUUAUUCAUCUAGGACACAGUUUCCAGUUCUAUACCUCCUCCCAUUUUCUCAAUGUAGUCAAUCCAGUUAACUGCCUUUUGUAAUUGCCUCUUGGUUGACCACCUUCCUAUGGGACAUCUAGGUACAACCUACCUACUUGACUGGCCCUGUUAACUCUCACCCCACCCCAUAUGGAUUGUGCACAUAUGCUGCAGUGACCACCUCUCUAUCACAGUGUAACUCCAUGGAAUUUGUGUUUUCUUGCUUUAAACCCACCAAUUAAAACUCCCAAGGAAGCCUGUUUGGAUAACACUAUGAACUCAACUAACUCUCCCUCUCUCUCACCCUUCACUCCGUUUUCUUCUCCUUUCCCUCUCCCUUUCCCUCCUUUCGUCUCUUCAUGUGCUGCUUGACUUCUUCUGCAUGUUACCUCCAGAGCAUGUGAUAUACUCCCCAAGGACUUGUGACCAUAAACCCCAAAAUGGAAGGGCAGUUGUUCAUGCCUGUCUUCUUAAUUCUUAAAUGUCAUUUUCAGAGUAUGAGCUGACAACUUACUUCCAAGGUCUCCAUUCCUACCUAUGGACUCUUGGACACCCGCACAGAAGAGAACUUUUUUGGGAAUUCUUCUGGGAGUGAAUGGUACCAUUAAAUUUCCAAAAGAAGGCUCCUCCAACAAAGAGCUCUUCACCUGAAUAUUUUGCAAGAGACACACUCUGAAGGUGAUGACCCCAAAGACAAGGUAUAUUUGUUAAGAGUUGGUGCCAUUACUUCUACCACCAGCUUCACCAAAACAAUGAUAUAGUCUUCCUUAUGCACAGUCACUUCUCUUUCCUGUGUGGCAGUGGAUACCUCCUGCAGAUAAGAAAUGCUUAACUGAGAAAUGCUCAUGUUGGGAUAUCAUCGAUGAGACUUUAAUUUGGGCAUGGUGACUGUUUCCCUUGCUGCCACUUGACUCAAACCCAGGAGCCUCACUAGAGGAAAUAAUAUUACACAAGAAGCUCAAAAUGAUGGAAUUGCUCAGUGCUCCCAUAAAGAUACACUUAUAAUUUUCCUUUGCCAUGUGAUAAAUUUUUGAAAAUAGGAUACAGUCAAAAGAAACUCUGCAUGAUAUUUUUUUAAAACUUGACAUUUAAAUAAUUAAUAUAUAAAUUAAGUGCCCUCCUCUCAUUAAUGCCACCCUUAUAGUUUUCUUCUAUUAAGGGAGGUAUGUGCAUUCUUUUAGAGGAUAGAUGUGCACAAACACAAAACCUAUUUUGGGGAGGGGGUCUAGAAGUGGGACAUAUUGUAAUACAUUCUCCUGCAAAUUGCCUCUUUCAUUUAAUAGUCUUUUCAAUGGGCUUUUUCUACUUCAGUAAUACAUACAUAUCUGUGCCAUUUGUUGAAUGACUGCAUGACUGUUUUGUAGAUGAAAUAUAAUUAAAUGUUUUAAGCAUUUCUCAUUCAUAGAUAUUUAUGUUAGCACCAAAUUUCUGUGCAAUGAACCUCCCUAUAUAUCAACAAUCUUGCUUUUGUUUAUUAUAUCAUAAUAAAAUUACUAAGUAGUUGAAUCACUGGGAUUAAGAAUAUACACAUUUCAAAUUCUGAAAAUUAUUGCAAAUUUUUCCUUUAAAAUGUGGUUAACAAUUUUAUCCUUCAUGGCAACAAAUGAGAUUGCCAACGUUCCCACAACCGUACAGAUAAUGGAUUUUAUAAAUAUUUAAAAUCUUUGCCAAUGUUAUCGCCCAAACUAUUGUCUUAAAUUGUAUUUCUUUUGUUUUUUUAGUUUUAUCAUUUUUUCAUGUUUGUUAGUCAUCUGUAUUUUUUAAUUUCUUCUUUUAUGUCCAAUUUUGAGGGUUUGGGGAGGUUUUAGUCUCUUCCAGAUUUCAAAGAGCACAUUUACUAUUGAGGAAAUAAGCUUUGGAUUGUCAAGCAUUACAGAUUUUUUUACACACUUUUUAACUUUGUUUUUGUUACAAGAAUGUGUAUGAUUGUUAUAUGUCCAAGUAUAACCAUGUUUGCUUUUAUGGUUUCUGAGUUUCAUGUCAUUUUUGGAAAGAUACUUAUACUUAGUCCAUAAAACCCUUCACCUAUGUUAACUUCUAAUUAUUUUGUGUUUUUUUAAUUCAAAUUCUUAAAUCAUGAGAAACUUUUUUGUUUUGAAAUCUUAAGGUUGCCAAGUUAUUUGCCAUUACUUGCGAUUAUUUGCCAAUAAUUGCCCAUUUAUCUGUAACGCCAUCCUGCGCAUAUGCUGUAUUCCCAUCUGUGACGGGCUCCAUCUGUGUUUUGUGGAUCUGUGUGUUUCUUCUUUUGCCUCCUGUCUCAUGUGUCUUCUCGUUGGGAGAAAUCGCAGUUUAGACUGCAAUUUCAUAAACUAUAAUAAAUUAAUUUAGGAAAGAAUUGGUUUUUAAUAAUAUUAAGUCUUCAUAUCCAAGAAUAAGGUAUGUCUUUAUUAUUCAAUAAUUUUAAUGACUGUUAAUAUUUUUACUUUUAUGAUGGGGUUUUUAUUCUAAUUUAUUUGCUUGUUUAUUUUUCUUUAUCUGAAAGUUUUGAUUAGUUUUGUUUUGGGGGGAUUAGUAGUCAUCUUACUGUUUCUCAUUUCUUUUCAGAUUUUUUCAAAAUAUUUAUCAAAUUCUUUCCAAAUAUUGAUAAUUUUUAUUUUCUCCCUUAUUGACCCUGAUUUUAAUUAUGUUGAUAAAGUGCACAGACUGAUAUGCAGGGCACUCAAACGAUUGUGUAAAUAAUUACCCACCCUUGACUUAAAUGGGUUUUAAUGGAAUGCUUCUUGGGUUUGAACAGCACAUUGUUGCUGGUUUAUGUCCCCCAAAAGACUACCUGAAAAAGCUAUGAUCAAGCAAAGCUGAGCUUAUUAAACUUAUUGCAGCAAGGGAAAACACCACCUUGACAGGGUUUAAUAGUGUUUUAAAAGCAGGAAAUAAGGGCUCUGGGUCUGGGCUGAUGUGAUUUAAAGCAGGAAAGUGAUUAGGGAUGGGCAAAAUUCAUCAUGUAAUACUUUAAGAUUGAUGGGAGAGUAUUAUGAGGUUCUUAAUAUUAGUCCUGAUAAUCAAGUUAUUGUCUAAAUGAACUGCUUGCCUAGAUAAAAUGUUAUCAGUGAUAGAAAACCUAUUUGCCUAUGUGAACAAACUGAAUUUAUUUAUUAGCUUAUGCUUUUAUCUUGCUGGGCAGGACUCAGGGUGGUAUCAGGUCUUAUUCCCAAUAGGUAAGUUAUUUUUAUAUAGAUGGUCUUAGUCAUCAAUGUAAGAUGCUAAUUUUAAGUUUGAAAUAUUUUGUUUAUUGCAUUAGAAAAAUUUUCCACUUUUCAUAUUUUUCUAAGACAUUUUAACGAAAACCAUGUAAUAGAUAUAUUCAUUGAUUUUUGUACAGUUAUAUUCUUUAUAAAAACAUUUAUUGGUAUAAAAAUUCAUUUCCUAUUAUUGAAAUGUCCUAUUUUUCUGUGAACAAACAGACCAUAUUUGGUUUUUAAAAAAAUUUGAUUGUUUUAAUUCACUGCUGAAUUGUGGGUAUUUUGAUUUGGGAGUUUUGAAAGCAUAUUACUUCAGGAAAUUUAAUCUAUUAUUUUA